CUGUUGUGUAUGAGGACGAAGGAUUCAGCUGAUUUUGCGGAUUAAUACUUUAAUUUUUUGCAUCACGCCAGCCAAACGGCUGCAGAAAAAUCAUUCUGUAUGCGGGAGAGGCGUAUGCACCUUUUUGGAGUUUCAAAAGGUUCCCAUUCACCGUGGAUAUUUACUGUGGGACCAUUGGACUUACAAGGAAAACUGGACAACCCCAUGAGGACGCCAUUCCACCCAGACAUCGCACAACUGCUUUUGUUUCAACCCAGCCAUGAAAAGAAGGUUUAUUUCUAGCAAGGGUCAAGCGCUCCGUCUGGAACUAAAGUCCUGAGGUAGAUUCUGCACUGACGCCUUAGCUCUACUGACGAUUCACAAAUAACUUCCAGGCGUGACAAAUGGCAUCAUCGCAAAUGCCAGGCCGUGGCUGGCUGGAGACAUUUCUGCCGGUGCCAGCGCGUGGAAACUUUUUGGCUUCCCUGAUAAAGUU